GAAAACAGUUCAGUGCAACAACAUUUCACCGCUUUGAGCUCAGACAUGUGAUAUGAGCGCAGACUAACAUCAUCCAGAUUUACAAAGGCUUAUGCAACAAUAUCACGAGGAAUAAAGAUCCAAAGUGUGAUUUUGUGUUUUUCUCCUCUCAGGGUGAUCCCCAAGACAAUGUCACCUACGUCGCGGUUAAUUUCAACAACAAAAAGAAGAAGAAGAGCGAUAAGAGCCGAGCUGAAGACGAGGACGUGACGUACAGCUCCGUGAACGUCGCUGCUGCAGCUGGAUCGGACUCUGUCCACAAACCAAAGUAACAUUACUCUCACUCAGUGUUGGGGAGAAUACUAUGACACUGUAUUUAGUUACUGAAUACUUGCCUUAAAAUGUAUUUUGUAACGUAUUCUGUUACUUUGUCUAAUCAGAGUACUGUAUUCUGAAUACUUUUAGAAUACUUUCACACUGAUUGUCAUUAUAUUUAUGUGUAAAUAUGGUGAAUAAUUACAACAAUAAAGACUAGGAUUAUUCAAACACCUGUUAUAAACUCACUUACCAUUAAUUAAGAACCAAAAAACUCUCUUGGCCAAUGGAGCAGCAGAUACAGCAUCAUGUGACACAUGUGUUUGUAUGAACUGUGACAUAAGGCGUUUAAAUCUUUAUUUUAUUUUAGGAGGAAAAACAGGUCAACAUUAAAGUUCUUUCUUAAUAAUAUUGUGCAAUAUGGAGCUAACAUUUAGGCCUAAUGACUGAAUACUGGGAUGUUUUCCCUUGAUAUUUGGAAAGUAACUGUAUUUUAAACACUCUCAAAUUAAAGUGUAACUUUACCAGAAUACAGUUACUCAAAAUGAAUAUUCUAAAUACAUGUAUUUAGUUACUCCCCAACACUGCUCUUACUUGAGUAAAUAUUUUGGCUGAGGUGGAGGUAGGCCUACCUCCACCUCAGUUUUAAACUUUAGAAUGUUGUGAUGUCAACUGUCCCAUCACUGGCAUCCACAGUCAGUGAUGGGACUUUUACUGGCUUUCCAUAAACCGCUUUUUUGUUUUGUCUUAUUCCCCAUGUAAAGCGUUUGAGUGUCCAAAGAAGCGCUAUACAAAAAAAUUAAAGUUUCUAAUUUUCAUUGUCCCACCCCCCCAAAUAUGUUCAUAAUGUAGUUUUAUCAUAUGGUACUUUUUACUUCUACUUGAGUAAAAAUAAUUGUUACUUUAAGCGACAAAUUGCUUCAUUUUGAUAAAAAAGGAUGUACAUCAUGCUCCUUGUUCUUUCUAAUUAUUUUGUUCUUCUGUAUUUUCUUCAUGAUUUUAUGUUUUGUUUCACAUAAUGUAUGGC
rnacentral:lncRNA from 1 species